CAUUGCACUUCAGCCUGGGCAACAAGAGCUAAACUCCAUCUCAAAAAAAAAAAAAAAAAAGACUGUCACUCCCGUUAACCAUUACCCCGCUGCUUCCACAGAGUCUUCAAGGAGGCGGGACCUGGGAGGAGAUGGGAGGGAGGGUCAGUGGCUGUGAUGAACCUUGUCCCUACGCCGAGCCCUGGGUCACUGAUCCAGCUAUGGAGAGAGCUGCAGUAGAUCUGCAGAACACAGCCUCGUUAACUCUGAAGUUUAAGUUUAACCCAAAGCUGGGAAUUGAUAAUCCUGUCCUCUCCCUGGCCGAAGACCACAACCCCUCUGAUCCCUGGAGCCUGGAGCGGCCUCGCUUCUGUUUGCUGAGCAAAGAGGAGGGCAAGAGUUUUGGCUUCCACCUACGGCAGGAGCUGGGCAAGGCUGGUCAUGUGGUGUGCAGGGUGGACCCAGGCACCUCUGCCCAGCGCCAGGGUCUCCAGGAAGGAGACAGGAUCCUGGGGGUGAACAACAACGCUGUGGAACACGAGGACUAUGCGGUGGUGGUACGCCGCAUCCGGGCCAGCAGUCCUCGGGUGUUGCUGACAGUCUUGGCACGGCAUGUACAUGAUGUGGCCCGAGCUCAGCUGGGAGAAGAUGCCCACCUCUGUCCUACCCUAGGCCCAGGGGUCCGGCCCCGGCUGUGCCAUAUAGUGAAAGAUGAGGGUGGUUUUGGCUUCAGUGUCACCCAUGGCAAUCAGGGUUCUUUCUGGUUGGUGCUAAGUACUGGAGGAGCAGCUGAGAGGGCAGGGGUGCCCCCCGGGGCCCGGCUGCUGGAAGUCAAUGGGGUCAGUGUGGAGAAGUUCACUCACAACCAACUCACCAGGAAGCUUUGGCAGAGUGGACAGCAGGUGACCUUGCUGGUGGCAGGGCCAGAGGUGGAGGAACAGUGUCGCCAGCUGGGAAUGCCCCUGGCUGCACCCCUGGCAGAGGGCUGGGCACUGCCUACCAAGCCCCGAUGUCUGCACCUACAGAAAGGGCCCCGGGGUUUUGGGUUCCUGCUCCGGGAGGAAAAGGGCCUUGAUGGUCGCCCUGGACAGUUCCUGUGGGAUGUAGACCCAGGACUGCCAGCUAAGAAGGCUGGGAUGCAGGCUGGGGACCGGCUGGUGGCUGUGGCUGGGGAGAGCGUGGAGGGACUGGGCCAUGAGGAGACAGUGUCCAGGAUCCAGGCGCAGGGCUCCUGUGUCUCCCUCAUUGUCGUCGACCCCGAUGCCGACCGCUUCUUCAGCAUGGUUCGCCUAUCCCCACUCCUCUUCCUGGAGAACACAAAGGCUCCUGCCUCUCCCCAGGGCGGUGGCUCAGCCUCUCUGGUUGAGACAGAGGACCCUUCACUUGAAGACACAGAUGUGCCUUCUGUCCCUCUUGGCUCCCGCCAGUGUUCUCUGUACCCUGGGCCUGGUGGCGGCUAUGGCUUCCGACUCAGCUGUGUGGCCGGUGGGCCUCGUCUCUUCAUCUCCCAGAGCCUUAAGCCAGCAAACUUUCCCCUGGUCUCCCCUGUUCUGCAUGCCCCCACACCACCAGGUGACACCAGGAGGCUCAGCUGCCCGGGCUGGGCUGCGAGUGGGAGAUGUGAUUCUGGAAGUGAACGGGUACCCCGUUGGGGAACAGAAUGACCUGGAGAGGCUUCAGCAGCUGCCUGAGGCUGAGCCACCCCUCUGCCUGAAGCUGGCAGCCAGGUCUCCAUGGGGCUUGGAAGCCUGGAUUCCCCCUGGGGCUGUAGAGGACUGGGCUCUGGCCUCGGACCUGCUAUAGAGCAUCACUGCUUGGUACAGACAUACCAGGGGCUAUCCUGUCUUCACUCUGAAGCCCGAGGUGUUGGAGGCAGGAUGCUCUCUCUAAGCCAGACCGGAGGGACUCAGACAUCAUCCAUCACAGGCUGGCCCAGGCACUCCCUCCCUUCCCGCAGACCCACCUCCCAGCAGAGGGUAUGGCGGAAGGCCUCAGGCAGGCCCCUGAAGAAGUCCGAGGCUCCAGAGGAUGUCAUCUGGGAGCUUUGGAGAGCUGUGUCCCAAGGAUGAAGGUGUGGCUGUAGGGCUGGCUAGGACUGAAACCACCUGGACCUUUUCUAGAUAUGGCUCCACGACCCUUGAGUGUAAUACAAGAAUUUGGAGAACAGCUAUGCCUGCCCUCUGUGGGCACCUUAACACUGUGGAGGGUGGUGCCUGGGCACCGUUGUACUUGUUAGAGAAAUGGCCGUUCCCCAUAAAUCUGACUGCCUGUGUUUGUGUUGGUGGGGGUAAGGGGCAGUGGUCUGAAGGGACCCAAAGGGCCUCAGGCGCAAGGGGUAGGACCUGGCUUUUUCAGGAGACAGGUUGAGACCUGAUCAAAUUUCUUUCCUAUCACUCAGUCUCAGAUUAAUGGAUCAACCCAGAACUGAGAUGUCCCCAGGAGAGCCACUCCUAAAAAUAAAAAUAAUAAAAAAAAAAAAGAAGAAAAAUAAAUAAAAA